UUCCAGUGUACAGCACAGUUUUUCAGUUAUACAUGAACAUAUAUAUAUUCGUUGUCACAUUUUUUUUCUCUAUGAGCUACCAUAAGAUCUUGUAUAUAUUUCCCUGUGCCGGGAGAGGGCUGUUUAAGGGCUUGUUUGCCUGGGGGCUGGCUAAGCAGAUGGGGUAGUGGCUGGAGGUGGGGCUGCAAUGUAAGAACAGGAUCUGGAGACCUAGGCUGUCUGAGAGACCUAGGGGACGGCCAGCACGUGAAGAGAGGCCAAAUCCAUCCUCUCGUGAGGUCUUGGUGCUUCUGGAACUGCUAUAACUGGGAUCUAUCUGGACUUGCGGAACUGAAGGCAGGAAACAGCUCUGGCCGACCAAUCCAGGCAUCAAGCUAGGAUGAACAAAGGGCUGGACAUCUUCUUUGCCCCUGACUGAUAUAAGAGCAAUGCCACCAAUCAGGAAUCCCUCAUGGGAGGAGCUGCCGCAGCCUCCAAGAUGUAUGAGGAUGACUCCCGGCAAUUCCUCAGAUCAACCUGAGGCCCCCAGCUGUAAUCUGGAGGUCUUCCUCUCCUCUCCUCCUGAAAGAGCUCAGACCCACCUGCAUGUUAAAAAGCCCUGCGACACUCUCGCUUUCUUCCUUGACAACUUUGGUGGCAUGCAGUUUUCUCUUUUCUUCUGAUGCACAAAUCCCGCAGCACUCCCUCAUCCCGCCUUGACCUGAGCUCAGCUCUCAGCAUCCUGCCACCCAGCUCCAUGGAAGCCCUCGCCAGUGGGGGCUGGUUGCCAUGGGCAGCCAGAUGCUUCUGUGCUGUGUGCUCAUAGAGACUGCAGACCUCGGCCCAGCCAACGGGCAGGGAGGGCCUGCCUGCCCCCUCCCCCCCAUUAGCAGAGUUCCCUGUCUUUCAGGAAAUGAGGUCUGGCACAUGGACUGUUGGGCCGGGCACCACCCCUUUCCACCCUCCUUGCCCCCAUCUGUCACCAAACCACUGGUCUAAGCCAGAGAGGGACUGGAAUAAAGAAGUGCUGCACUCUCCACCUUGGGGCCACUUCCUUCCCUCAAACGGAGCACCCCCCAGUUCUGAGCUCUGACCUCACCUUCACAAACACUGCUAUGGGAUGACAGCAUUGGUGGUGUUUGUCAAAGGCUUUAUUGAGGUUAGACCAGGCCCAGGCCAGGGCCCUAGUGCCUAAGGAAGAAAGCUGGAGAUAAUGGAAUGGAGGCUUAGACUCAACAGGGUUCUAAGACUGAGAUGGAGUGCUGGCUCUGCCUCUAACCCUGCCCCUAAUUCUGGGCUAGUGACUCGCACUUUGGGCUUCAGCGUCCUCAUCUGUAAAUAAUGGCCCCGACUGCCCCGUGCCACAAUCAUCGUGGGUCCCUUCCAGCUGUAGCAUUCUUUGGCCAAUACCCAGACAAUUCCUGGAGAGACGCGAGGGCCAAGCUAAGC